rfam:Schistosoma rodhaini strain Burundi genome assembly, scaffold: SROB_scaffold0000037
ACCUUGCUGACGAGUGCUAAGUAGCACGAAACCCGUGUCCAGGGU